rnacentral:rRNA from 1 species
UACGUAAGGUGCGAGCGUUGUCCGGAAUUACUGGGCGUAAAGAGCUCGUAGGUGGUUUGUCGCGUUGUUCGUGAAAUCCCACGGCUUAACUGUGGGCGUGCGGGCGAUACGGGCAGACUGGAGUACUGCAGGGGAGACUGGAAUUCCUGGUGUAGCGGUGGAAUGCGCAGAUAUCAGGAGGAACACCGGUGGCGAAGGCGGGUCUCUGGGCAGUAACUGACGCUGAGGAGCGAAAGCGCGGGGAGCGAACAGG